AGAUGCAAGAAGAAACAGAUCUAACUUUUGGGUUGGGCCUUUAAAAUGAAAGUUGGCCAAGGUACGUGGAACCACACAAUAUCACAGAAGACUGAAACAAUAAGACAACUCCAAACUCUGUCCAGAAGAACUGGGCAAAGGGUUCUCUGGGAGCCAGAAAGUGUGAGAGAAAUCCUGGAUUAUGGUAUUAAAUCAAGCAAAGUUGCAAAAAGUAACUGCCUCAAACUUCAGGGAAGCUCUGAAGACUACAAUUCAUAGCUCAGCAUUUUACCCAUCAAUGGGGUAGAGGAGACAAAUAAUUUACUUUCCUGCACCUUUUAGUUAUAAAAACAUGACUGCACCCAAAAAGAUAUAUAUUUCCAAGGACUUCUGACGCUUUCAGUGUGUAGGAAAAGUGGGUUCCAGAAGCCUGAGGGCAUUCCUCCAAAAAGAGAUGCAGAUGCUAGCAGUAGGGACAGAAAACACACUGGGUACCAGACUGUAAGAAAAUGAUAAAGGAAUCAAGAGAAGAUGUCAGUGGAAUAGUAAUAUUUGCUACACUCCCAUAGCUUUAUCUGUUUGGCUUGAACUAAUUCUUGCCCAAAUAUUUUCCUAAAUGAACAAGAAAGCAUUACACUUACCUAGAGAAUUCAGUUGUACCAGACAUCUCUUUUUCCCUUAAAGUUGAAGAAACUACAGCCAUAUAUAUACAUAUGUACACACACACACACACACACCUAUAUCUAUAUCUAUUACAGCCAUAUUUAGAGAACACAUUUAAUUGCCUUGAUGAAAAUUAAAUGUGUGGGAUUGGGUGCAGUGGCUCACACCUGUAAUCCUAGCAUUCUGGGACGCCGAGGCAGAUGAAUUUCUUGAGCCCAGGAAUUUGAGGCCAGCCUGGGCAACAUGGUGAAACCCUGUCUCUACAAACAGUACAAAAAAUUCGCUAGGCAUAGUUAUGCGUACCUGUAGUCCCAGCUACCAUAGGGCCUGAGGUGGGAGGAUCACUUGAGGCAGGGAGGUCGAGUCUGCAAUGAGCCAUGAUUGUGCAACUGCACUCUAGCCUGGGUGGCAGAGUGAGAUCCUGUCUCACAAAAAAGAAAAUGGAAGAAAAUGUAUAAAUUUGAAGUGCAUAUUUAUACGUUAUUGAAAAAUUGAUAAACCUAUCUGAGCUGGAUUGGUGACUUUGGAGAAAGAAAUGGAAUCUUCCAAUUUAGGUCUGAGCCAGGACUCAGCUAUGAUGGAUGCUGUAUGUGC
rnacentral:lncRNA from 10 species